GAAGCCGUCACCCCACUUAGCAUGACUGGUGGGUUUGCACUCUGCAGUCAAGAAAAGGAAAACAUCUGAUAAGCAGGGCUUUUGAAAGCUUCUACUGUUUCAAAGGAUCUCUUCUGCUGUCUUUUGAGAGAACGAGAUGAAAAGGUCUGCUUCUUCUGGCAGGGUGCUCUCCCCACAUCGCCACCUGGACCCAUCAGAAGUCCAAGGACCUAUCAUGCGGCCACAGCUCCUACUGCUGAUAACACAGAACCGAUUAAUACAGAUUUUACUUUUCUAAAAAAGUGAACAGUUUGCUUCUAGACAUCAGUUAAUGGCAACAGCUCCCCCUACUGGCCAAAGGAAGGGAGAGCAAGCUGGUUCUCGUGUAUCGUGAGAUCUCUGCUGGAAAAAGAAACUUAACGUUGUUUUGCUAACUUAGUUGGAUUUAGACAACAACGACUCUGAGGUACAAAUACAAAAUCAAAUCAAUGUAUAUAAGGCUUCUGUAAGCAAAGUCUUAGAGGAACAUCUGCUCCUUUUCUCCAAGCCCCAGUCCUACAAAUCAAGGCAAGUCAAAUAAUUAAGCUUCAGCUAUUUUGGCAGCUUUGCAAUUAAGAUGAACAAAGCACUACGUGUAUCCUUCCAUAUAUGGUAUGUAUGAUAGUUCUAUCUUCUUAUACCACAUUUCACAUGCAGAGAGACUAAGAUAUCCACUUUAGUGUCAGGUUUAAUUAAGGGCCAAUAAAGGUCUUAUAAUACCCUUCC